AUGUACCUGCCAUCAACGUCGUACACAGGUUGUUAUGGUGGAAACACAUCGGCAAACAUAUCGUGGCAAGCUUCACCGUUGCAGGCCAACGCUAUUGCAGAUAGAGCACAACAAAUUGGAAUGACAGACCAGCUUCGAUUAGCACAUGCGGCACAACAAGGACCUUCAACUAUAAUCAACAACGGCGCAGGGACAUCUACUGCGGGAACCUCUGAGCACACGGAAGGAGCGUUCCACCAGCAAGUCAACAAUACUGCCACAAACAAUGCAGAAUCAGUGUCGGAAUUGGCAAUCAUUCCAGCAAUGACGACAAGCACACCUUUGCACAACAGCACAAGCAACACUCAAGCAGAUGAAACAACCGCCGAUACUGAAGUGAAUGAUGAAACUGAUGAAGAAGCACAAGGGGAUGAAGAAGAUGGGCAAUCAGAAAUCAUGAUACCUCAACCACUAUAUGUUGGGCACAGGUUUGGUUCGUUUGAAGAUGUCAAGGAAUUCUACCAGAGAUAUGCAAUGUUCCAUGGGUUUGCGGUGAACACCGAAUACCAUAGGAAAAUUAAAAAAACUAACGAGUACAGCAGAGGUGAGAUAAGGUGCUACAAGGCACGAAGGAACAAGAAGCGUAAAGGUGUUGCGCCUGUCGUGCCAGAACGAAAGAGAGGUAUCAUUGUCAAGAUGGAAUGCCCUGUCCGGUGUAAGCUAAAUGCAGAUGGAGCACAGUGGGUGGUCACCGACUAUUUCGAUGAACACAACCACAAACUCAUAAAGAAGUUUGACCUGGUAAAUUUUAUGAGCGCCCACAGAGGAUUCAGCCCCCUUAAGAAGAAAUUCAUAAAAUUGCUACAUGAUUGUAAUGUCGAUCCGUCAAGAAUGGUCCAAAUACUGUCCCUGAUCCACAACGGAGAUGGUAGACUGAGUAGCAUGCCCUACAUACCAGCAGACGUCACAAACCUAAAGGCAAAGUACCGUAGAGAGAGCAGGUUGGCUGACAUAGAAGACACGAUAGCCUACUUUGAAGAGAAAGCAAAAGCAGAUGCUGAUUUCUUCUAUAGGAUAAGAUUGGACGAUGAGGACCGUGUCAGAAACAUGUAUUGGGUGGAUGGUGAUGCAAGAAGAGCCUACAAACAUUUCCGUGCUUGCAUUUCGUUCGACGCGACAUAUCUUACUAAUAUGUACAAGAUGCCCUACGCUCCAUUCAUAGGAAUAAAUAACCACAAUCAGUCAUUGCAGUUCAGUUGCGGACUCGUUCAGAACGAAGAUAUGGAUGGUUACACUUGGCUGUUCAAAACCUUCUUGGAGUGCAUGGGUGGACUUGCUUCGAUGGACAUAAUAACAGACCAGGAUUUUAGCAUGCGUGCAGGCAUAGGGGAGCUCUUUCCAUUGGCAGUGCACAGGCACUGUAGGUGGCAUAUUAUUAAAAAGGCUAAGGAGACACUAGGACCAUUCUUUGUUGACUGUCGAGAGCUGUACAAGGCAUUCGAGUUGUGCGUGGACCACAACUUGACGGUGCAGGAGUUUGAAUGGAGCUAG
rnacentral:rRNA from 1 species